ACACCGAUGGUGAAACGGUAUCAUGCUUGCCUUCCACGUUUGGAAUAUGUAGUCUCGCGAGCAAGCGGCGCGGGUUCGACUCCCGCUCGGUGUA